CUGGCUCCUCAGUGAUAUGAGUCAAUCCAUCAGACAGAAUGAUGGCAGUCACCCAGCCUUCACAGCCACCACCACCAUGCUGGCAAAUGUCACAUUUGGAAUUCAUUUGCAUAGCUGGGUAGCACUCCCUGUAGAGUUACAUUGAACAAUUUUGCAGCUGUGACAGCUUGAAAUAGAAAAGCUAAUGCAACUAUCUGUCGACUUCCUCUGUGCCUUGUUUUCCUAAAAUCUAGCUGGGAAUUCUUAUUACAGAAAGGGGGAGAAUCAUGUAAAAAUGGAAGGGAAACUGAUGCAAAGCUUUCAGGAACCAAGCACGUCUCGGUGGCAUUCAGAAGAGGCAUACAGGGACAUAGAGGCACGGUUUCCCACCGACUGAGAUGAAGCUUAUCUUCCUAACGUCCUACCAUAGAAAGCAGAUAGCCAAAAGAUAGUUUUGACUGAAUGGAGGAAGAUGAGGAGUGAAGACCCCAAUUUCUUUCCCCUCAUAAUGGAGUCAAAAUGGGACUCUGUUAUGAAGGAGUGUUGGUGAGAGAAUGUGGAUCCUUACAGAAAAUUGCAACUGUAUGAGAGAUGGAAGAUUUAAUCCAAGCUGUGCCAAGACUCACCAACCUAGACAGGUGAGAACUGGGCCAUCAAUCCAAACAAGGGUAAACAAUAAAUGCACCUGGGGGAAAGGCCAACCAUGAUGAUUGUGAAAGACUGGGAAACAUGACAAAUUACUAUGAAGGAAUUUCUGAGCUUAGUAAAAUACAAUUUCUGGGGGUUUGGAUAUGGUGCAUUGUGAGCUGUCAAAGGAUUCCAAAGUUCAGGCAUUGAGCUGCUUUAUCUUUUAAUAUUUCAAAUUCAAUGACACUUUUGAGUUUAUAUUUGGUUUAACAAAAAAAAAUCAUUUAAGCACAGCAUAUAUAGCUUCAAAUCCAUGUGUAUGCUCCCCGACUUAAGGAUGAAAGAAACAUCUAGUCAAGGGAAUAUGUGCCUUGAUUUAUUUCUCUAGCAGUAAUGAUGAAUUGCACUAUGUCUUCUGCACUCCCAUGACAUGUCACUUCCAUAACCCUUGGUGUUCAACUACAAGACAGAAAGGUUACAAGUGCAGGUGAUUGCUGUGCACAAGGGUUUUUCCUAACUGAGAAACUAACUGGCCCAUAUAGGGAUUAAAACCACAAGCCUGGCCCUCAUAAUCACCACUCUAACGUCCAGAGCUAACUGACCCAGACAAUAAAGGCUGCAGGAGACACCCGCUGAGCUAUUAGGUUGAUAAAUGGGAAGGACUUCAGAGUACAGCAUCUUAUGAAAAAUAAUAUAAUAAUUUAAGUAGUUGUCCAUCCCAGUGGUACCAAUUUAUAGCCAAGGCUAACUAAUAG